rnacentral:rRNA from 1 species
GGGCUAUACUGCAGUCGAGCGGACAGAUGGGAGCUUGCUCCCUGAUGUUAGCGGCGGACGGGUGAGUAACACGUGGGUAACCUGCCUGUAAGACUGGGAUAACUCCGGGAAACCGGGGCUAAUACCGGAUGGUUGUUUGAACCGCAUGGUUCAGACAUAAAAGGUGGCUUCGGCUACCACUUACAGAUGGACCCGCGGCGCAUUAGCUAGUUGGUGAGGUAACGGCUCACCAAGGCGACGAUGCGUAGCCGACCUGAGAGGGUGAUCGGCCACACUGGGACUGAGACACGGCCCAGACUCCUACGGGAGGCAGCAGUAGGGAAUCUUCCGCAAUGGACGAAAGUCUGACGGAGCAACGCCGCGUGAGUGAUGAAGGUUUUCGGAUCGUAAAGCUCUGUUGUUAGGGAAGAACAAGUGCCGUUCAAAUAGGGCGGCACCUUGACGGUACCUAACCAGAAAGCCACGGCUAACUACGUGCCAGCAGCCGCGGUAAUACGUAGGUGGCAAGCGUUGUCCGGAAUUAUUGGGCGUAAAGGGCUCGCAGGCGGUUUCUUAAGUCUGAUGUGAAAGCCCCCGGCUCAACCGGGGAGGGUCAUUGGAAACUGGGGAACUUGAGUGCAGAAGAGGAGAGUGGAAUUCCACGUGUAGCGGUGAAAUGCGUAGAGAUGUGGAGGAACACCAGUGGCGAAGGCGACUCUCUGGUCUGUAACUGACGCUGAGGAGCGAAAGCGUGGGGAGCGAACAGGAUUAGAUACCCUGGUAGUCCACGCCGUAAACGAUGAGUGCUAAGUGUUAGGGGGUUUCCGCCCCUUAGUGCUGCAGCUAACGCAUUAAGCACUCCGCCUGGGGAGUACGGCCGCAGACUGGAACUCCAAGGAAUU